UCCAGCCCGCCCACUCGCGCGCUGCAGCGGCGUCAGGCGCUCUAUUCCCAUAAAAGGGAAUUCUUCACAACGACAUGGAAUGUUGGGCACUGUUUGAAUCAGGGAGGGAGCACGAGCACGAGCACGAGCACGGCUACCGUGGGGAACGUGGAAGAGGAGGGGGACGGGGUUGUUGAACCAACCACAGUCGGGGCAAUCGCAGCUCCUGCAUCCAGCGAUCGAAGCUCCUGCGAUCGGGCGGUCAAAGCUCCUGCAGCCUGGAGCUCCCGAAGUCGGUUUCUAACCAAGGACCGAGACCUCCACGAUGUUCAAGUCCACAGGCUCCGCGGUUAGUUCCAAGAUGUUGCCUAACCUCGAGUUCUUCUAGCUGUCUAGUUUUUGUAAAUGGAAAUAUCAAUCCAAAUAGGAAUAAAGAAAAGAUAAUGAAUAUGAGAUAUUCCCCUACCUUGAGCCAGUAAUAUGUAUUUUGGAUUUGGAUAUCAUAUCUCGGCUGCAAUCUCAGUUGUCAAAGUGAUUACAGGGUUUCAAUAUCCAUGGUAAAGGGUACGGUAUCUGGGACAGUGUCGGGGAGAACACUUCAUGUUACAUGGUAAGUUUCACAUUUAGAGACCCAGCACGGAAACAGGCCCUUUGACCCACCGAGUCUGCACCGACCAGCGAUCCCCGUAAAUUAACACUUUCAUACAUACACUAGGGACAAUGUUACAUUUAUACCAAGUCAAUUAACCUACAAACCUGCACAUCUUUGGAUGGUGGGAGGACACUGAAGAUCUCUGAGAAAACCCAUCAGUCACUGGGAGAACUUGCAAACUCUGUACAGAGUUUGUGCCUCUGUGCUGUGCUUCAACAAAACUGGCAUGUUGCUGUGUCAAUGAAUUACAGUAGUCAAUGUAUUCUGUGUGAGUGCACCUCACUCAACCCUCUGGUCACCCUACUCCUUUCCCCUCUAAUGUACGCUCAUCCUUGUCCCACAUUCCCCUCUUUCCCAGAUCCCUCCCUCUGGCUUUGCACGUCACACCUCUUCUCCUUGUCUGACACUUGUCUCCUCUUCACCUCUAGCCUUUAUCACUACUCUCCUCUCUGCUAAUCAGCCCCCAACUGUAUCCAGCAUCACUCACCAGGCUUUGUCCUGCUCCCAUCUCUUUCCAGCUUUCUCUCAACUCCAUCAGUCUGAAGAAAGAUCCUGAUCUUAAACAUCUGUCCAUUCAUUUGCAGUUGGGCAGAUAGUGCCUGAUCCACUGAAUAUCUCCAGCACUGUUUCUGACCUAGUUAUUCCUUGGUUAAAGUUAUCCUAGGGAAAGUGAGUUUAAUAGUCACGGCUCUUAAGUCGUAUUAUAAUUAUUACAUCCUUCUAUAAUUUAGUUUAGAGAUACAGUGCGGAAGCAGGCUCUUCGGCCCACCGGAUCAGCGCCAACCAGCAUUCUCCACACAUUAACACUAUCCUACACCCAUUAGGGACAAUUUUCAUAUUUACCAAGCCAAUUAACCUACAAACCUGCACGUCUUUGGAGUGUGGGAGGAAACCGAACCCUCGCUUCUGCAGAAACAGCCUGGAUCCAGAGAUCAGUGGCCGCAGUGACCAGUGUGAUGGCUGAAGUGGCCAAAGGGCCAGAUUUCUGUGCUGUACGACAGUGAGGUGAAGGUCUGUGCAGACUUGCCCAUCUGAUCGACGUUCCAGUCACAGCCUCAUGGACAUGUCCAAUGACCCCCCCUCCU